GCGUAUAUUAAAGUUGUUGCAGUUAAAAAGCUCGUAGUUGAAUUUCGGGGUCAGUAGGUUGGUCGUGCCUCUGGUAUGCACUGGCUUUACUGAUUCCUCCUUCUUGAAGAACUGUAAUGUCAUUAAUUUGGUGUUGCAGGGAAACAGGACUGUUACUUUGAAAAAAUUAGAGUGUUUAAAGCAGGCAA
rnacentral:rRNA from 1 species